rnacentral:rRNA from 1 species
AUUGAACGCUGGCGGCAGGCCUAACACAUGCAAGUCGAGCGGAAGAAGGGCGCUUGCUCCUGGAUUCAGCGGCGGACGGGUGAGUAAUGCCUAGGAAUCUGCCUGGUAGUGGGGGAUAACGUCCGGAAACGGGCGCUAAUACCGCAUACGCCCUGAGGGAGAAAGUGGGGGAUCUUCGGACCUCAUGCUCUCGGAUGAGCCUAGGUCGGAUUAGCUAGUUGGUGGGGUAAAGGCCUACCAAGGCGACGAUCCGUAACUGGUCUGAGAGGAUGAUCAGUCACACUGGAACUGAGACACGGUCCAGACUCCUACGGGAGGCAGCAGUGGGGAAUAUUGGACAAUGGGCGAAAGCCUGAUCCAGCCAUGCCGCGUGUGUGAAGAAGGUCUUCGGAUUGUAAAGCACUUUAAGUUGGGAGGAAGGGCAGUAAGUUAAUACCUUGCUGUUUUGACGUUACCAACAGAAUAAGCACCGGCUAACUUCGUG